CAAGGAAUAGCUAGGGGAUCUACAAUUGGAUUCAAGUUGGAUAGUCUUUUAAAGCUUACUGACACUCAUGCUUCUAACAAUAAGAUGACACUGAUGCACUAUCUUUGCAAGGUUCUAGUUGAUAGGUCGCCUGGACUGCUUGACUUCCACUUAGACCUUGUUAGCCUGGAAGCUG